rnacentral:rRNA from 1 species
UACGUAGGGGGCAAGCGUUGUCCGGAUUUAUUGGGCGUAAAGAGCGUGUAGGCGGCCAGGUAGGUCUGCUGUGAAAACUCGAGGCUCAACCUCGAGACGCCGAUGGAAACCAUUUGGCUAGAGUCCGGAAGAGGAGAGUGGAAUUCCUGGUGUAGCGGUGAAAUGCGCAGAUAUCAGGAAGAACACCCGUGGCUAAGGCGGCUCUCUAGUACGGUACUGACGCUGAGACGCGAAAGCGUGGGGAGCGAACAGG